rnacentral:sRNA from 1 species
CAGGCAGAGUCCUGGAGACCGAAGUCUCCAUCUACAGCACAGGCAGUGGCAGUGCAAGCUUCCCCCCACACCAUCCAGCAGCACAUAUGCCAUGCCCCACAUCCAUGUGCAUCAGCUCUGAGCUGGAGGGACCAACUGUAGAGAUGAGAAGAUAGUUUAGUUGCUACGUCCAUACAGUCAUAGACCCAU